rnacentral:lncRNA from 1 species
UUCAAUUCGCCCUCUGCUUUAUAAUAUAUAUACAUACCCGCGCAAUUUUUUUCGUAUGAGGCUGACCCACCUAAUUAAUAAAUCUUCAAUAUUGCUCUUUUUCCACAAUGACAAAAGAAAUUAGACGUCAUUUUCAUCUUGAGCAAAAAAUAAUAAAAAAAUAAAAGUAAAAAGUCAUUUAAAGGUCAUAUUUGAGCAGUUUUGAAUAGUUAAAGGUCAUAUUUGUGCACUGUCAAAGUUUAAGGUCAUAUUUAUGUAUUAUGUCCUUAGAUUUUAAGUUGAACGCGCCCAGUUUUGCGUGUUGAACACGCGUUUUGCCAAAUAGGAUUAGAGGUCAUAUUUGUGCAGUUUUGAAUAGUUAAAGGUCAUAUUUGUG